GCACUGACAGCUGGGUCGCACUGGUUGGAGGUGCGUAUACACAACCAGCAGAUCUGGGCGACACCACUACACUCACACUCGCUCAAAAAUACAUGGUAUUCGCGCAUACGCGAUAACGCGACUGUGUAGCCUCCGUUGCGAUCGAAGGAAUCGCUGCCGUUGUGAGAGGGUCAAAUGCGAAAGAUAAAUUUCGCUCGUACGUGACGGCGUACGGCUGCAACCAGCUCCGGUCGUAGCGAGCUCGUAAUCAAAACAGAAGUGAAUUAUCGUGUUGUGUUUGCUGCGGAAAAGCAUCCAUUCCCGGGGUGGCGGCAGAGUGUCGAUCAAUCAUUGCCCGUACAAGCAGCGUCACAUAUGCAGCUAGUCGCGGUAAUUAUGAUUGCCAUCCUCCGCAUCCUAUCGUGAGCCGUUCGUUUGUGAAGAGUGGCAAUAACACAACAAUAGACGGUCCUCUCAACCCUUGCUAGCCCGGCGGCCCGAAAGCGGAAAGAAAGCAGAAGGCACAAAUAAUCAUCUUCAGCCCGUAUCGAUUUAUGAUGGUGCGAUAGAGACGAUUGGGUUGGGGGUGGCAAGAGAGCAGCGGUGGUGGUGCCAGCGGCGGCGGCAAAAUCCCCAUCUUCGAGUGACAGUCCUUGAAUACAGCUCCUGCUCCGGACCGAGCGAAGCGUGCUUUGUGGAAGGAUCAGGCGGGCCUUAAGGACAAAACACUUGUGGCGAACUGAACAGACGAAGCGGCGGAGGAAGCGGUCAUGAAUCCGCGCAUCGUCAUCAUUGGUGCCGGAGCGGCCGGUGUAGCCGCAGCCACACGGCUCAUCGAGCGGGGCUACAAAAAUGUGAAGAUUCUCGAGGCAGAAAAUCGCAUCGGUGGAAGAAUCCACACCGUUCCGUUCGGGGCAAAUGUUGUUGACCUGGGCGCACAAUGGUGCCACGGCGAAAAGGGCAACGUGUGCUACGAGCUCGGCUCGAAGUACAACGUGUUCGACUCCAACAGUGCCCGUUACGAGCGGUUCGUCCUGACCCGCUCGAACGGUGAACAGAUCCCGAAGGAGCGGAGCGAAAAGCUGCUCGGUCUGAUCUGGUCCAUUCUGGAAACGCACAAACACGAGCUGACCGGAUACCGGGGUUCGCUCGGGUCGUUCAUUAUGGGGAAGUUCCGGGCGCUGCUCGAGACGCCCGAGUACGCGGACGUGAACGACGAGACGGCGUAUCAGGUGCUGGAGUUUUUCCAGAAGUUUGAAAACUCGAUCGAAGCCUCGGACAGCUGGUUCGACACGUCCGGGCCGGGCUAUCUCCAUUACUGGGAGUGCGAUGGGGAUUUGCUGCUGAACUGGCGCGAUAAAGGCUACCGGACGGUGUUGGAAAUAUUGAUGAAACGACACCCGCUCGCCACUGCGGCCGAAGCAAUCAAUCUGGAAGACUACACCCACUUCAACAAAACCGUUGCCAACAUCAACUGGACCGCCGGACCAGACAGUCUCGUGUCGAUUCGCUGCACGGACAGCACCGUGUACGAUGCGGACCACGUCAUCUGCACAAUGUCGCUGGGCGUGCUGAAGGAACGCUACCAGACGCUGUUCACGCCCGAUCUGCCACCGAUCAAGCGUAACGCCAUCCAGGGGCUAACGAUCGGCACCGUGAACAAGCUGUUCCUCGAGUUCGAUAAACCAUUCUGGGCGAAGGGUUGGCAGGGCCUGAGCCUGAUCUGGAACCAGGCCGACCUGGACGAGGUGCGCCAAAUGCCGGACAGCUGGAUGGAGGACGUGUUCGGGUUUUACAUCGUCGACUAUCAACCGAACGUGCUUUGCGGGUGGAUAUCGGGCAAAAAUGCGCGCCGCAUGGAGCGGGCCAGCGAUGAGGACGUGCGCCGGGCCUGCAUGUUUCUGCUGCGCAAGUUCAUGAAGGGUUGCAACAUUCCCGAGCCGGUCCGCUUCCAGCGCACGAGCUGGUACGCGAAUCCAAACUUCCGCGGCUCGUACACGUUCCGCUCGAUGACGACCGAUUUGCUGAACACGUCCGCGUCCCAUCUGGCGAUUCCGCUGACGAAUUCGUGCGGUAUGCCGGUCGUGCAGUUUGCCGGGGAGGCCACGCACGAUCACUACUAUUCGACGGUGCAUGGUGCCGUUGAGACGGGAUGGCGUGAGGCGAAUCGAUUGAUCGAUCUGUACGACAGAUUGAUACCACCCUUCAACCAUGGCCCGAAAGCGUACGUUGACGUGCUGAUCCUUGGCGCCGGCAUUGCCGGGCUUGGAGCCGCCAGGCAGCUGCGCAAUUCGGGCAAAAGCUUCGCGAUCCUGGAAGCACAGUCCGUCCCCGGUGGACGCAUCAGUACGAAGGCGUUGAAAAGGCACCACGUCGGUGGGAAGGGCUGUCAGCUGGUUGAGGCCGGCGCUCAGUGGCUGCACGGCCGGCAGAACGAGCUGCACGAGCUGGCCAAACGGAAUGGGUUGCUGCGCGAGGAAACGUCGGAGGAAGGGUUGGGCGAGUUUUUGCGUGACGAUGGCUUCCGGAUAGACGAUCAGCUGGUGAAGCGGGUCGACUUUAUCGUCGGCCAGAUACUGGAGCAGUGCGAGGAGUUUGCGACACGGUCGGAAAACGACCCGACGCCAUACCCGGUGUCGUUGGAGGCGUAUUUGCGCGACCAGUUCCGGAAGCGAACGGAGAAGGAUUUUACCGCUGAGCAGAGGGUGCUGGCACAGCAGCUGCUCGACUGGCACUGCCGGUUUCAGAUUAUCGACAACUCGUGCUUGCACGUGUCGGACAUUUCGGCCAAGCUGUGGGGCAGCUACUCGUUUAACGGGGAGAGCUGCCAGGCGCACAUCAACAUGCGGUACGGAUUUCAGGCCCUCGUGAGCUGUUUGAUCGAGGAGAUCGGCGCGGAGAAGAUCGUGUACAAUAAGGCGAUCUGUGAGAUACGCUGGUUGGAUUCGCGCAGCAAGGUGAUCGUGAAGUGUACGGACGGUACGAUCUACUGCUGUCAGCAUCUGAUCGUAACGUUCUCGCUUGGCGUGCUGAAGGACACGAUGGAUCAGCUGUUUCAGCCCAAUCUACCGGCCAGCUAUAGUCGCUCGAUCCGCAGCAUCGGGUACGGGACGAUAGACAAAAUCUUUCUACAGUUCGAGGAGCGUUGGUGGGGCAAAGCGGAAGGCAUUCAGCUGGUGUGGCGGGACGAGCUGCGGAAGGAUUCGCACUGGACGAGGUUCAUCUCGGGGUUUGAUGUGCUCAGCCCGGGGCCGCCGAACACGCUGCUCGGCUGGAUUGGCAGCUACGGAGCGCUGGAGAUGGAGGCACUGAACGACGAGCAGAUCGUGAGCGACUGUGUGUUCAUUUUGGAGAAGUUUACCAAGAAAAAAGUACCUAAACCCGUCAAUUAUUACUGUACAAGAUGGAACUCCAACCGUUACAUUCGUGGUUCGUACAGCUACACCUCCGUCAACUGUGAUCACGAGCAGAACUUUAUGUCCAAUCUCACGGAAACGCUCGUAUGCAAUCAGUACGACAAGUUGGGUGAAGAAUCACGCAAAAAGGAAUGCCCGUCGUCAAUAAGCGCCACCCCGGUGGCUGCUGGCAACCGUGCGGGGAGUGCAGCAACAUCGACGAGCAACACCAGUGGCCACAGCACUAGUAGCAGCAACAGCAGCAACACCCUAACUAGCGUCCCAAUUGCAAACCUCAGCACCAGCAACACUCCAAGCAAGGUAAAGUCGAAUCAAGCUACUACAGAAUCUCUAGCCAAUACGCCGAGCAAAUGUUCGAGUUCUGCCUCUAUCACGGUAACACCCAGUGGUGGUAGCACGAAAGGGGCUGCUCAGGGUAGCAGUUGUGCCGGGAGUAGCAGUGCCAAGACCUAUGCCACAAUCCACUUUGCUGGCGAGGCUUGCCACGAACGGUACUUCUCCACCGUACACGGUGCGUACCUGUCCGGGAUGGAGCAGGCCAAGAAGAUUAUGAUGCGCGAUCAGCACUAACCUAGUAGACUCAAUACGCAACACUACAAUCGUAACGAAAUCAAAAAAAGGCAGACCAAACGUAGACAGAACACAAGAGAGAGAGAGAGAGAGAGAGAGAGAGAGAGAGAAACAGAUCAAAUUAAUUAGAAAACAGUUGAUAAGCAAAAUGUGUAGCAAAGCAAUCCCGGCAAACAAAACAAAUCCCGAACAAAACCGGGAACAAGCAGUUGUGGGGAAAGUAGUAGCAAUUCUUUAAGUAGUAGUUUAGCAGCAGUAAGCCGAAGGGAAAAACGUGUCGCCACAGUGCCACGCAAUCAUCUAUUUACCUUUUCAUCUUGUUGCAAACGGAGGCGAGUGAAUAUCGUAAGGCAUAGCAUACGUAGGCUCAAUACAUCCGCAAUGUAGGCAACUCUUCCCGAAUGUUAAGUUUAACUUCACCAUUCUCUGGAACUUGCGUUCUUCCAGCUGCUGGUUCUUAAGUUCCUUUCUAAAUGUUUAGCUCAACUGUUGUGAACUGUUUGAUGCAUUUGUAUUAUACGCAAGGGCAGAUGAAUUUAAAGCAAUGUAGCAGCCUGUGUCAGUUAGACUGUGCCACACAGAGCCGCGAUGACCGUAGUGCUUUCCUGCGUUUCUAUUUUAUAGAGCAGUCUAGAGAGAACGGAAUAAAUAAUUCAAAGCAUGGAA